UCCCAGAGGCCCAGGUGCAUUGGAGGCCAGCCUAAGUGAAGGAAGUAUCAAUGUAUUCCUUUUUGAAGUGCCUCGUGGAUAAAACUGCCUCACAUGCAUAAAGUACUGUACAAACAUUAAUUAACUUGCUAGUGGCUGUACUUCGAAGUCUGUUGCUUCCCAGCUAUAUUUCAGGGAGCUUGUCUACACUUAAAAGGCUCCAGUGGUGCCAGUGCAGCUUGGUAAUCCACCUCUCUGAGUGGUGGUAGCUAUGUCAACAGGAGAAGUCCUCCCCUCAAUAUAGCGCUGUCCACACCAGGAGUUAGGGAUGGACAAGUGAGCGUUGUCAAGCUGGCUGACUUCUUGAAAGUGCAUGCUCUAAUGUCAGAGCGAAGAGUGAGGCACUGAGAAGAGAAAAUAUAAAGAGAGCACGUACUGGACGGAUCAAUUGCUGACAGCCCUAAUUUUGUUCCUAAUAAUCUAUCUCACCAGAAGAAAAACUUUUAGUGCACAACCUUGAAUUAUUUUACAUCUAUCAUGUUUUGCAAUCCUGGCACCAUCUCUGAUACAGAUUUUUUUUCAUACUCUCCUUUGUCACCCAGGUAAAUUAAAUCCUAUUGAAACAGCUGUCUGUUGCCACAGAGGGCAUUGCUUGUGUGUGACAGACAGCGGCUUUUCAUAGGGCGGAAAUUAGAUAGGCUUCUCAUGGGAGAAAUAUUCGUAAGUCAGAAUGUCAGUCGGUGAAUGCAGCAUCCUGACUCUCAUGUGUUUUUCCAGGUUGGUCCUCACUACUGUCACUGAAAGAAUGUGUCCUGAGUUUAAGUGGACACCAGUGAAUGAAAGAUGUGCUAGGGUUUGGGGUUAAACAUGCACUGCGGACUUUGUUUCUUAAGAGUGUGACUUGUAUUUGACUUAACUUUUCAAGAAAUAUUUCAUCUACUGCAUUCCCUUUAUCCACCAGUUCUGUAAAAAGCAGCCCAAGUUUUCCUCGUGUUAUUUCGUCUUCAUAAACCCCAUACUACUUUUUGCUCAUGUUCCCUUUCUCCUUUGGAUAAUUAAAUACCUAUCUGAUA